AGGCCUGUCCCAAACCUGAUCCAGUGUCUGACAAAAAUAAUUGGAAUUGCAAUUAGAAAGGAGAGCCAUGGUUCCUUGCAGCCUGUCAUGCCUUCAUGUCUUCGACGCUGGACUGUGUCCGCCCAAAUGGUCUUGCUGCCACUUCUUAACAACUCUAUUGCAAGGCACCCCACAUCCGAACUGCAGAGUGGAGAAUUUUAAGAGUAGAGAGCUGGUGGUGGACUAGGAGGAAGAUGACAUGGUUUUUUGGUGAU